UUAAGCAUAUCACUAAGCGGAGGAGAAGAAAACAACCGUGAUGCCCCUAGUAAUGGCGAAUGAAGCGGGCACAGCUCACGCCGCCAAUCUGGAGGCCCUCGCGGCCCCUCGAAUUGUAGUCUAGAAACGCGCCAUCGGCCGCGUCCGUCGCUAAAAUCCCUUGGAACAGGGUAUCGGAGAAGGUGAGAAUCCUGUGACGUGGCGGAUCGCGGCCGCACGAUGCGUGUUUGCAGAGUCGGGUUGCUUGGGAUUGCAGCUUGAAUUGGGAGGUAAAUUCCUUCUAAAGCUAAAUAUUGCAGCGAGACCGAUAGCGAACAAGUACCGUGAGGGAAAGAUGCAAAGAACUUUGAAAAGAGAGUUAAAGAGUGCUUGAAACCGACAAGGGGAAACCCGGUUGCGCCCGGUGUCGUGCAGUCGACUCAGCCGGAAACGGUGCACUUCUACUGUACGGGUCAGACGCCUCUCUGCGCGGGGGACAACCGUCCGGUAGGCCUUCGGGGAGCCGGUAUCUACCUCGCGCGGGGCGCCGUCUGACGUAACGGGCGCCACCGACCCGUCUUGAAACAG
rnacentral:rRNA from 1 species